UCUUCAUUUCACACUCUCUCUCGUCGACCGCGCUGGCGAGAGAGCGUGCGAAAUGAAGAGA
rnacentral:pre_miRNA from 1 species